rnacentral:rRNA from 1 species
GACAGAGGGUGCAAACGUUGUUCGGAAUUACUGGGCGUAAAGCGCGUGUAGGCGGCUAAGCAAGUCGGGCGUGAAAUCCCACCGCUCAACGGUGGAAGUGCACCCGAAACUGCAUAGCUAGAGUCCUGGAGAGGAAGGUGGAAUGCUUGGUGUAGAGGUGAAAUUCGUAGAUAUCAAGCGGAACACCGAUGGCGAAGGCAAUCCCCUGGGCCUGCACUGACGCUCAUGCACGAAGCGUGGGGAGCAAACAGG